UACGUAGGUGGCAAGCGUUGUCCGGAAUUAUUGGGCGUAAAGCGCGCGCAGGCGGUCCUUUAAGUCUGAUGUGAAAGCCCACGGCUCAACCGUGGAGGGUCAUUGGAAACUGGGGGGACUUGAGUGCAGGAGAGAAGAGUGGAAUUCCACGUGUAGCGGUGAAAUGCGUAGAGAUGUGGAGGAACACCAGUGGCGAAGGCGACUC
rnacentral:rRNA from 1 species